AAAUGAGCCUUGUAGCAAUCAAUGAUACCUUCAACUUUUUGUUUAAUUUUAUAAACCCACUUACAUCCUAUGGUGUUCUGAGCAUGAGUGUGGAGCACUAGUUCCCAUGUACCAAUGUUUAAAAGGGCAGAUAUUUCUUCAUUCAUGGCCUUAAACCGUUGAGGGUCAUAUUGUGCCUUAGUGUAGCAAGUGGAUACUUAGGGUAACUCUUUUGUAAUGGCAAAGAGCUUUGGUUUUAGAGAUCCAGUUUGAGACCAUGUAAUCAUGGGGUAAGUUUUUGCAGAUGGUGGAGGAGGUGAAGGGACGUCCGGUGGUUGUGAACUUAGAUCCAUGACAAGAGGAAGAGCAGUGGAAGUUUAGACGGCAAGGGGCUAUACGUUAGUAUACGAGUUGGGGUAACAGUUUGAGUUGAUGGGAGUUGGAGCAAAGGACGUGGUGGAGAAAAAGGAGGAUUGGGUCGUUGUUGUAUUGGUGUAGGAUUAGAUGGUGUUUAUUGCAAUAGAAUUUGGAUGAUGAACGGGUUGGUUAGAUCAAGGAGUCAUGGAUGUUAGAGAAGGAGGAGGACCAAGAAUGCUAGGCGACGGGUUUGGUGGAGGGUUGGGCAUAAGUGGCAUAAGAGAGAGAGGUAAAGAAAUAAGACCGAUGCUUUCUUGGACUAAACUAGGGUGAGUAUUAUGCUGUGCAAAAAAUGAAAAUACCUUCCGAUGACAGGCCUCACG
rnacentral:misc_RNA from 1 species